AUAUAAGUCGUUAUUUUAAACGUUUGAUCGACCUUUAAUAAAUGUAUGUUAUAUUAUAAUAUAGUAAUAUAGCCAUUGGUCAGAAGACUCUUACAACAGCUUGAGUCACGCGGUUUAAAUAGCCAUGAUUAAAACGAAAUUUAACAUAAUUAAAAAAAUUUACUGCUAUAAAAUUAUUUUUAAUGGGCUAAAUAAUUAAAUUAGACUUAAAUGUGUUUUCAAGAUUUACUUUACAACAACUGAGAGCAAAUGACUGAUGAAUAAAUAAUAAACGAGUUUUGGGUGCGUCAUUUUAAUUCAUGGAAGUUAAAAAGCUUUUUUCGUGACAAUCUACCUUCAUAAAUGCCAAAAAAUCAAUGUUUUAGAAAUUAUUGAUGGCCACAUUAAAACAGUUAAAAAAAUAUAAGUUGCUGAUCUCUCGUUAUGAAAGUCCUGCUGCAAGAACUUUUUUCUUUUUUGCGGUUACAAAUCAGGUUACGAAAUGAGACGAUCAGAAUACGGAUGUAGAAGAUGAUUUUGCACAAGAGUAGGCGCGUUAUAAACAAGCGGUAGACGGUAUACUUGGAAGAUUUUUGAUAAUGCAUAAACCAGAGAAAACAGCGAUCCAAAAUUUAUGUUUAUGAGUUUAUUCAUUAUGUACAGUCUUUUCAGCUUCUAUAGCAACGCCCUUAUCCUUCAGCUUCUAUGGCAUCGCCCUUAGCAACGGUUAUUUCUUGUUUUCCUCCGUCAACGUCAUUUAAAAAGAAAAUCUUCUGAAGUUUUUAGAAAGGACAGAAAAAUUCUAAGAGGUGUCAAAAAAGGACAUAUUAAUAAAGAGAAAGAUAUUGAAGGUGGAAAAUCUUACUCUUAUGGAAAAUAUUAAAAAGUAUAAUUGAA